GCAAGAAUAUGCCACACCUUUGUACAUCACUAGGCGACUAUUUGAUGUUUUUUUUGUUCUUUUUUGGCGAGCUCUUGAUCCAACCACAGGGUUGCUUUUCUUGCAUGAGGAGCAUGGAAGAAGAUGACAUUGCUUCAGCAAUCCCAGAAUUCUGAGGGAAGUGGUUGAUGUUUCAUUUUUUAAGAUUG
rnacentral:ribozyme from 14 species